UCCUUGCUAUAUUAAAGUAGCCUAUUAAUGUCUUUCAAAAUUGAAAAAUAUCUUCUUCAUUUCAUUGUGUAUUUUUGUGUCUGUCUGCAGCCAUUAACAAUCACUCUGAGUGUCUGCGUUUGCUCAUCCACAACACCGACCAGCAAACUGUCAGCAUCCGUGAUGGGAAGGGACAGACUCCUCUGAUGUUGGCGGUUCUGGGUGGACACACAGAUUGUGUGCAUCUUCUGUUGAGUGAAGGAGCCAGUGUGGAGGCCAGAGAUAAAUGGGGCAGGACGGCACUCAAGACGACACUUCUGAACUUGGAACUGUAUGAUGUUUAUUGAGUAUUUUAUUUAGAUAUUUAUUUGUAAUUUUUAUCUAUUUGUUUCUUUGAACAAAAUCUAAAUUUUAAAUGAGUUGUUUUUUUAAUUUAUGUGAAGUUUUAGUUUAUUUUUAGUUAUUUACCUAACAAAAACUGAGAGAUGAGGUAAAAUUAAUUAUAUAAUUAUUCUGCUGACAGACAUUUCCUGAACCUGAAACAUAAAUUUUAUAGUUCUUCAAAGUCUUCUUAAACAACUAAAAGCAUGUUUGUGUCAGUGUGUGUGUGUGUGUGUGUGUGUGUGUAAAAAUCACUCUGUGUGUGUGGCUUUCCUCAAGGAUCAGAUGUUUUAGACCAGCACUACAGUAUAUUGUUGAGUAGAUGUGUUUUGUGUGUCCCGCAGGACGCAGCGUACACUGAUCACAUGGAGCGCUUGACGCACCUUUGGUGCUUGGCCCCAUAUCACUGCUUGUAGCUAUAUUUUUAUGUGCUUUUGUCAUUUUAACUAGUUUUGUUUUUUUUUAUUUCUAUUUAGUUUUAAUUUUUUUUGUUCAUUGAGGUUUUAGUAUAUUUAGUUUUUUAUUUUAUUUUAUUUUUCUUAUUUACCUUUAUUUCAAUGACAAAAAAAUACAUUUUUUAAAUAGUUCUGAUACUUGGGAAACAACAACAACACUGGUAGACAACAUUCAAUGUAGAGACUUUUUUGUGUUAUUGCGUUGCUGUGGCUCAAGGUGGCGCUAGAGUUUCCUUCAUAUGUCUGUGUCAUUACACCAGAUGUGUUGUUAUUGUUAUGUGUAUGUAAUCAUGUCAGAUCUAAUAUCAGUGUGAGGUGUUGAUUGUGUUUGUGCAGAGGUGCUGGUGAGCAGCGCUAAAGCUGAUUUGACAUUACAGGACGCUCACAGAAACACAGCACUGCAUCUGGCCUGCAGUAAGGUACCAAACACACACUCACACACUGAUUUACAUCAAACAUGACCGUCUGCUGUAGAUCAGACAAACUACAGAAACUCAGAAAACAAGCAUGGAAGGUGAGCUGCUUGAGCACAAAGUCAAUUCCUCCUGCUGCUCGUGGAUAAAAAAAUAAAUAAAAAAUCCUCAGUUUUAGUGAUAUUUUC
ensembl:lncRNA